UACGUAUGGUGCAAGCGUUAUCCGGAUUUACUGGGUGUAAAGGGAGCGCAGGCGGCGCGUUAAGCCUGGUGUGAAAGCCCGCGGCCCAACCGCGGGACUGCAUUGGGAACUGGCGCGCUGGAGUGCCGGAGGGGUAGGCGGAAUUCCUAGUGUAGCGGUGAAAUGCGUAGAUAUUAGGAGGAACACCAGUGGCGAAGGCGGCUUACUGGACGGCAACUGACGCUGAGGCUCGAAAGCGUGGGGAGCAAACAGG
rnacentral:rRNA from 1 species